rnacentral:rRNA from 1 species
GACGAACGCUGGCGGCGUGCUUAACACAUGCAAGUGGAGCGACGAACCGGGCUUCGGCCCGGGGCAAAGCCGCGAACGGGUGAGUAACACGUGGGUAACCUGCCCCGAUGACCGGGACAACCCGAGGAAACUCGGGCUAAUACCGGAUGAGCUCGUGCUACAUCAGUGACACGAGGAAAGGAAGCUUCGGCCUCCGCAUUGGGAUGGGCCCGCGGCCCAUUAGCUUGUUGGUGGGGUAACGGCCUACCAAGGCUUCGAUGGGUAGCUGGUCUGAGAGGACGAUCAGCCACACUGGGACUGAGACACGGCCCAGACUCCUACGGGAGGCAGCAGUGGGGAAUCUUGCGCAAUGCGCGAAAGCGUGACGCAGCAACGCCGCGUGCGGGAAGACGGCCUUCGGGUUGUAAACCGCUUUCAGUUGGGACGAAGCUCCGUCGGUGAACAGCCGGCUGGAGUGACGGUACCUUCACAAGAAGCCCCGGCUAACUACGUGCCAGCCGCCGCAGUAACAC